UGGGGGAUUUUGGACAAUGGGGGAAACCCUGAUCCAGCCAUCCCGCGUGUGCGAUGAAGGCCUUCGGGUUGUAAAGCACUUUUGGCAGGAAAGAAACGUCAUGGGUUAAUACCCCGUGAAACUGACGGUACCUGCAGAAUAAGCACCGGCUAACUACGUGCCAGCAGCCGCGGUAAUACGUAGGGUGCAAGCGUUAAUCGGAAUUACUGGGCGUAAAGCGUGCGCAGGCGGUUCGGAAAGAAAGAUGUGAAAUCCCAGAGCUCAACUUUGGAACUGCAUUUUUAACUACCGGGCUAGAGUGUGUCAGAGGGAGGUGGAAUUCCGUGUGUAGCAGUGAAAUGCGUAGAUAUGCGGAGGAACACCGAUGGCGAAGGCAGCCUCCUGGGAUAACACUGACGCUCAUGCACGAAAGCGUGGGGAGCAAACAGG
rnacentral:rRNA from 1 species